GCUUUAGCUCAGCUGGGAGAGCGCCUGCUUUGCACGCAGGAGGUCAGGAGUUGAUCUUUGAAAAGUA
rnacentral:tRNA from 1 species